rnacentral:rRNA from 1 species
UCGAGGAUCUUCGGCAAUGGGCGCAAGCCUGACCGAGCGACGCCGCGUGGAUGAUGAAGGCCUUCGGGUUGUAAAAUCCUGUCGAGGGGGAUCAAGGGCAACUUGAGUGAUCCCUGGAGGAAGCACGGGCUAAGUUCGUGCCAGCAGCCGCGGUAAGACGAACCGUGCAAACGUUAUUCGGAAUCACUGGGCAUAAAGGGCGCGUAGGCGGCUUCAUAAGUCAGGGGUGAAAUCCGGCAGCUUAACUGUCGCAGUGCCUUUGAUACUGUGGAGCUCGAGGGAGGUAGGGGUCUGUGGAACUUCCGGUGGAGCGGUGAAAUGCGUUGAUAUCGGAAGGAACGCCGGUGGCGAAAGCGACGGACUGGAUCUCUUCUGACGCUGAGGCGCGAAAGCCAGGGGAGCAAACGGGAUUAGAUACCCCCGUAGUCC